UUGGAGGGCAAGUCUGGUGCCAGCAGCCGCGGUAAUUCCAGCUCCAAUAGCGUAUAUUAAAGUUGUUGCAGUUAAAAAGCUCGUAGUUGAACUUCGGGACCUGUGGGUUGGUCGUGCCUCCGGUACGUACUGGCUCUACCGGUUCCUCCCUUCUGAAGAACCACGAUGUCAUUACUUGGUGUCGUGGGGAAUCAGGACUGUUACUUUGAAAAAUUAGAGUGUUUAAAGCAGGCUAAAGCUUGAAUAGAUUAGCAUGGAAUAACGAAAUAGGACGUUUGAUCUUAUUUUGUUGGUUUCUAAGAUCGACGUAAUGAUUAAUAGGGAUAGUUGGGGGGCAUUAGUAUUCAAUUGUCAGAGGUGAAAUUCUUGGAUUUAUUGAAGACUAACUACUGCGAAAGCAUUUGCCAAGGAUGUUUUCAUUAAUCAAGAACGAAAGUUAGGGGAUCGAAGACGAUCAGAUACCGUCGUAGUCUUAACCAUAAACUAUGCCGACUAGGGAUCGGAUGAUGUUAAUUUUUAAUUGACUCAUUCGGCGCCUUACGGGAAACAGUCGAC
rnacentral:rRNA from 1 species